rnacentral:rRNA from 1 species
UACGUAGGAUGCAAGCGUUAUCCGGAUUCAUUGGGCGUAAAGCGCGCGCAGGCGGUGCUCAGCAGUGGUGCGUGGAAUCUCCCGGCUUACCUGGGAGGGGUCGUACCAGACGGGGGCACUUGGGGCAGGCAGAGGGUCACAGAACGGGCGGAGUAGGGGUGAAAUCCGUAGAGACCGUCCGGAAUACCAGUGGCGAAGGCGGUGACCUGGGCCUGAAUCUGUCGGUUUACCGAUGGAGCCCGACGCUCGGGCGCGAAAGCGUGGGGAGCGAACGGA